UUGGGCUGUACGUGGAAGCAUGUCAAGACUGUGGCCUAGCGAAUCUACGCAGGCUUUGCAUCUCUACUAUUCCUUCAAGGAACCAUAAACUGUGUGCCUUCUUUGUGGUUACGUUGCUUAGGUUACAUGAUCCUGCUUCAAGAACCACUUGACCUAUGCCAGUUGUGGAGGCUAUGUGGGGACAAUGAGAUGAUCAACGUGAGUCAUGUGCCUCUCAUCAUGCUCUCCUUCAAAGUUUGAGUCAGUGAUCCAAUCUACUUCAUCUUGCAACAAUACCAUGGAGAUAUCCUUUGUUGUCAGUCAUGGAGAUGAGAGCAGAGGCAGGAAUCACCUGCUCUGAACUGCAUCAUUUUUGCUGACAUUCCACUGCCACUGCUGCAGCAACAGCAAGUAAUUCCAAAAGGAUGUCAACGGGCUUCACAAAGAUGAAGUCACUGUAUGUCUUGGACUAAGCAUACUUCUCACUUCUUGCCUCUAGGCUUCCUCUACACCACAGCAUGGGACAACCACAGCUCUGCCUUCGUACAGGCACAACCCAGACCCACAUUACCAGGAUAUGGACCAAUGAAGUCUGAUGGUAUUAAAUGUCUGUGCAACUAUUCCUGACCCAUGGGUCCAGGAGACAAUAAGAAAUGUGCCCUUUCUCCCACUUUUUUAUCCUGUUGCAGUCAGUUUUGAAACAUAUUUCAUAAGACUCCACAGAAGGUCCUAAAAUUAAUGUUCAAUUUGUUAAGUCAUUUUUGAACAGGCCUUCUUUUCUUCUCUUUUACUCCUAUUGUGCUACAUGCCUUCCUCCCUCAGACCAGGUAACAGACAAACUGCUGACAAGCAAGCCUUUGUCUCAGACUCUACUUUGUGUAGAACCAAGAAUAAGACACUAAGUAGCAAACACAAGAACACAAGGCCACUACCCAAAUCUAAGAUCAAUGAAGGCUAAAGGCAGAAACCAUGGCCCCAUCCACUACUAGCACUGCCUUAGAAUGCAUUGUUAAAAUUUUCAUUUUUUCACAUCAUGUCAAGUUUAAUUUAUUAGCUACAAAAAGGAGUAUUUUCUCAUAUAACAAUGAUUUUUUUCUGUGUUCUAUUUAAUAUGUAUCAUUGUACUUUCCUCUUAAAUGAAUACUUUUAAUUUUUUUAAGUCUUCCAUGUUACAACUAUUAAAAAACAAUUAUUAAUCUACAUUAAAAUCCUUUCAUUUCCAUUUUAAAGU